rnacentral:rRNA from 1 species
CCUACGUGGGGCAGCAGUGAGGAAUAUUGGUCAAUGGACGCAAGUCUGAACCAGCCAUGCCGCGUGCAGGAAGACGGCUCUAUGAGUUGUAAACUGCUUUUGUACGAGGGUAAACGCAGAUACGCGUAUCUGUCUGAAAGUAUCGUACGAAUAAGGAUCGGCUAACUCCGUGCCAGCAGCCGCGGUAAUACGGAGGAUUCAAGCGUUAUCCGGAUUUAUUGGGUUUAAAGGGUGCGUAGGCGGUCGGAUAAGUUAGAGGUGAAAUCCCGAGCUUAACUCGGGAACUGCCUCUAAUACUGUUGAUCUAGAGAGUAGAUGCGGUAGGCGGAAUGUAUGGUGUAGCGGUGAAAUGCUUAGAGAUCAUACAGAACACCGAUUGCGAAGGCAGCUUACCAAUCUAUAUCUGACGUUGAGGCACGAAAGCGUGGGGAGCAAACAGGAUUAGAUACCCUUGUAGUC